CUAACGCUUUGUGGUAUUCAACCUCUUGCUUGCUUCUGGUCCAAAGAUGAAACCCUUACUAAUAGUUGGUUGUAUUCAUCCUUUUCUGGAAUAAUAGCCUCCUUUACUGCAGGAUUAACUGCCUUGUAUAUGUUUCGGAUAUAUUUACUUACAUUUGAUGGGCAUUUGCGUGUUCAUUUUCAAAAUUACUGUAGCACUAAAGAGAGUUCCUUGUAUUCAAUAUCCUUAUGGGGGAAAAGGAUACCCAAAGGAGUGAAUAGGGAUUUCUUAUCAACACCGAAGAGUGGAGUUUCUUUUUGUUCACAAAAUAUACCAAAAAUUCAAGUUAAUACAAGAAAUAUGAUAGGAUCCUUUUACUACGUCUUUUGGAGCUAA
rnacentral:rRNA from 1 species